AUUGAACGCUGGCGGCAUGCUUUACACAUGCAAGUCGAACGGUAACAGGUUAAGCUGACGAGUGGCGAACGGGUGAGUAAUGCAUCGGAACGUGCCCGGUCGUGGGGGAUAACGCAGCGAAAGCUGCGCUGAUACCGCAUACGAUCUGAGGAUGAAAGCGGGGGACCGUAAGGCCUCGCGCGAUCGGAGCGGCCGAUGUCAGAUUAGGUAGUUGGUGGGGUAAAGGCUCACCAAGCCAACGAUCUGUAGCUGGUCUGAGAGGACGAACAGCCACACUGGGACUGGGACACGGCCCAGACUCCUACGGGAGGCAGCAGUGGGGAAUUUUGGACAAUGGGCGAAAGCCUGAUCCAGCAGUGCCGCGUGCAGGAAGAAGGCCUUCGGGUUGUAAACUGCUUUUGUACGGAGCGAAAAGGUCUCCUCUAAUACAGGGGGCUCAUGACGGUACCGUAAGAAUAAGCACCGGCUAACUCCGUGCCAGCCGCCGCAGUAA
rnacentral:rRNA from 1 species